rnacentral:rRNA from 1 species
AGAGUUUGAUCAUGGCUCAGGACGAACGCUGACGGUGUGCUUUAGGCAUGCAAGUCGAACGAGAAAGCCCUUCGGGGUGAGUAAAGUGGCGAACGGGUGAGUAACACGUGGGCAACCUGCCCCUCGCAGGGGGACAACCGGAGGAAACUCCGGCUAAUACCCCGUAAGCUCUACAUGCCGCAUGGCGAGUAGAGGAAAGGUAGCUUCGGCUAUCCGGCGAGGGAUGGGCCCGCGGUGCAUUAGCUAGUUGGUGGGGUAACGGCCCACCAAGGCGACGAUGCGUAGCUGGUCUGAGAGGAUGAUCAGCCACACUGGGACUGAGACACGGCCCAGACUCCUACGGGAGGCAGCAGCCAGGAAUCUUGGGCAAUGGGCGAAAGCCUGACCCAGCAACACCGUGUGGGCGAUGAAGGCCUUAGGGUCGUAAAGCCCUGUUGAUAGGGACGAAGGGCGAAGGGUUAAUAGCCCCUAGUCUGACGGUACCCUUCGAGGAAGCUCCGGCUAACUACGUGCCAGCAGCCGCGGUAAUACGUGGGGGGCGAGCGUUGUCCGGAAUUAUUGGGCGUAAAGAGCGUGUAGGCGGCUUGGUAAGUCUGCCGUGAAACCCCGGGGCUCAACCCCGGGCGUGCGGUGGAUACUGCCAGGCUAGAGGAUGGUAGAGGCGAGUGGAAUUCCCGGUGUAGCGGUGAAAUGCGCAGAUAUCGGGAGGAACACCAGUAGCGAAGGCGGCUCGCUGGGCCAUUCCUGACGCUGAGACGCGAAAGCUAGGGGAGCGAACAGGAUUAGAUACCCCGGUAGUCC